rnacentral:rRNA from 1 species
UAGGGUGCGAGCGUUGUCCGGAAUUACUGGGCGUAAAGAGCUCGUAGGCGGUUUGUCGCGUCGUCUGUGAAAUCCUCCAGCUUAACUGGGGGCGUGCAGGCGAUACGGGCAGACUUGAGUACUACAGGGGAGACUGGAAUUCCUGGUGUAGCGGUGAAAUGCGCAGAUAUCAGGAGGAACACCGGUGGCGAAGGCGGGUCUCUGGGUAGUAACUGACGCUGAGGAGCGAAAGCAUGGGUAGCGAA